rnacentral:rRNA from 1 species
UCAAUGAUUUAAAUAGCCGCAGAAAUUUAACUGUGCUAAGGUAGCAUAAUCAUUUGAUUUUUAAUUAAAAUCUAGAAUGAAAGACUUAACAAUUUAAAUUCUUUUUUAUUUUUAAUCAUUAAAAUUUUAUUAAAAAUAAAAAUAUUUUUAUUUUUUAAAAAGACGACAAGACCCUUUUAAACUUAACUUUAGUUUAACUGGGACAGUUAUUUAAUAAUUAUUUUAAAAUAUUUAUUUUACUAAUAACCUAAUAUUAUUAAAUUAACAAGUUACUAAAGGGAUAACAGCGUAAUUUAUACUUAAAGCUCUUAUUUAAUUAUAAGAUUACGACCUCGAUGUUGAAUUAAAUUCCUUUUUUAAGCAAAAUAAAUAAAAGGGGGUCUGUUCGACCUUUAAAAAUUUACAUGAUUUGAGUUCAAA